GCUUCCGCGUUCAGCGCUCCCCGGGCACUUGUUAAUCGUGUUGGUGCCUUGCAGUACAGUUUGUUCUUUCCGGUGUAACCAGCAGCAAAGCAGGGUCCCGUCAAAAAGAAGAAAUACAGGUUCCUUUACAUAGCAUAGGAAUUUCCAGCUUGUGCAAAUCGGCUCCAAGAUUGAAAGAAGUGAGAUAUAUAAAGCUGGAAAUGUCUGUGUAUUUUGCCAGAUGGUACCUUUCAGAAUGCAAUAGGAUUGUCCAGCUGUCUGGAGAAACCUUUAAAUAUCCUGGAAUAUGGUGGAAGCAGUACUGAUAGAUCUGUUCAGCCUUGCACCCCACUUGCAGAACAACAUCCAAGGAUUACUACACAACACUCUGGAAGCUAUUGAGAAAUGCUCUUCCAUCCAUGCUCCAUUUGUUUAUGUCAUGUGUUGCCAGAGUCAGGGGAGUGAAAGGAAAGGAGAACAAGAGUUCUUGCUUCCAGCUCUGAGAGGUUUUCGGAAUUUGAAGAGAAAACUGGAGGUGGUAUGUGCUCAGACUACAGCUGCUGCUUUGUACACCAUCAAACAGAGACUGGAUGAAAAAGACCUGAGCAUCAUUAAAGUUAUUCUCCCUACCUUAAGAAAAGACUUAAUGAAAGUAUAUAUUGACCAUCUCUUUACAGCAGUCUAUCAGUUUGAAUUCGAGGAUUUACAGGUGGUACCUGACAGUGAAAGCCUGCAGAUAUCAGAACAUCAGCAUGAAGGGCAAACGCUUCCUUCACAGGACAGGGCACUCAUCCAAAGUGAGAUUCAGAUGUACUUGGAAAGCCUGCCAAGCCUGAAAGGGGAGCUCACCAUCCUCAGAUCUUCCCUGAUCCCAGAUGAUAUUUUCUUACAUGGGUUCACCACAAGGACAGGUGGGAUCUCCUACAUACCAACUCUAAGCUCCUGCAAUCUCUUCAGCAGCUCCAAGCGGAGGGACCCACAAGUUGUUGUUAAAGAAAAUCUCCGCCGGCUAGCUAACGCUGCAGGAUUUAACCCAGAGGCUUUUCACAGAGUCAAGGUAGAUCACGCUAAUGCUGUGUGUAUUAUGGGAAAGACAGAGCCUGACAACUAUGAUGGAAUAGUUACGAAUCAGAAGGGUGUCACGCUGGCAGCUCCAGGUGCUGACUGCAUACCCGUGCUCUUUGCUGAUCCUGUCAGAAGAGCCUGCGGUGCUGCUCAUUCCGGAUGGAAGGGCACAUUGUUAGGCGUAUCUAUGGCCACAGUGAAUGCUAUGGUUUCUGAAUACGGCUGUAACGUGAAAGAUAUCCUUGUGGUGCUGGGCCCAUCUGUGGGACCUUGCUGCUACAAACUUCCUCAUGAAUCAGCAAAAGAAUUUCACAGAAUUGAUCCAAAUUGUGUGAGACUAUUUGACUCUGCAAGUCCUUAUAUUGAUAUCAGAAGAGCAACGAGGAUUCUUCUUGAGAGAGGUGGGAUUCUUCCCGAGAACAUCCAAGAUGAUUCUAUCACAGACCAGAACAGAAACAUCACUUUCUGUACUGCAUGCCACCCUGAUAAAUUUUACUCUCACUUUCGUGAUGGCACUAACUUUGGGACACAGAUUGGCUUCAUAUCAAUCAAAGACUGAGACAGUAUCUCUUACUCUAGAACAGCAUUUAGAUAAUAAGUCUGCUGCAUCAUCUGGCAUCCUGCUCUCCGCAUAGAAGUUUUUCCUCCUUUCUUUCACAGACUUGUAGUAGGGAAUCCAUGGGUCAUGAGAUUCUCCUGCUUGUUCCAUCCCUUUCCCUUUUGAGGCAAGAAUAAGUAUCUGUGCUGUGGGGACAACAGUUCUUGUAUGAGACAGGGUGCAAAGGAAACAAGGACAAACCACGCCAGUGGCAAAAUCCUUCUACAAGAUCCAGAUACAAGCUCCGAGUUUAUGGAUCCUCCUUGACCAAAUAUUUUCCAGAAAUCUCACUGUCUUAAGUUGGUGGAAGCCCAAAAAACACCAGUCUUCAUUAGCUUCUGGUUGAGACUGCUGAAUGACACUAAGUAUGACAUUGCUAAUACAGGAAGGGAAGCCAGCAUUGCAUGUUACCUGUUUGAGACACUCAACUUUGAUAGUUUCAGCUGAAGCCUUACAAAAUUUUGUGCAUGGGAUUAAUUUUCUUCUUUGGAUUAGUUUAAAGAACUCCAAAAUAAUUACAGGAAUUUUCCUAUGGAAAAUAACUUGAAGCUGGCUUCAAACCAGAGUCUCAGGAUCCAACAGGGGCAGCACUCACACUACUCAGCUGAGAGUUGUCAAGCACAUUGCUGCAUACCAGCUAAUGGUGUGUAUGGUAUGUGUUACGUGUAUUAUUGACUUGUUCUAAAUAUAGGAUAGUAUAAUUAUAUGGAGACUGGCAGGCUUAUCUUGCUACCCUAAUUAAAAACACCAACACAACAGACUACCUUAACCUUUUAGUUCUGUCCCUUCACCCUGGUUUCUGUUCCGGUUAUGGGUGCUGACUGACGUAGCAGUGAGGUGUGUAAGGUUCCUUCUUGAAGCUACAGAGGCAGUGGCACUACAUGACUUUCAGUCCCUGCAUCUGAAGCUCAGCCAAAGCUGAGUGCCCUUCACCUAAACCUUUUCCCUUGUGUAUCAAGGGUAUGCCAUCAAAAACAGCUGAGUUACUCGGUUCUGCAAGGUACUGACAGCUGAAGCAUCAUAGGGGCCCAUGUGCCUGCUGUUAUCCCAUCUCAUCUCAAAAUUGGCUUUAAACUAAUUCAUUUAUUCUUCCAGUAAGUACAAAAACCUUGCAGUCAUGCUACUUACCACAGUUCAAAUGCUCAGCAGUAUAUUAGGUCACAUUAACAUGAUACUGAGAGUAAGCCCUGUCUUGUUCUUACCUGCUCAAGGAUUGCAGUAGAGAUUUUACGUUUAGAAAAAUGCCAUUUACAGGUCAUGGUAAGGCUGUGCAAGCUGGAGACUAUCAGAAUGAGCAGGAACACCAAAGUCUUCACCUUUUGGAAGACAAAUCAUUACCACAAUUGUUUUGGUUUUUUUUCUUUUAUAUGAAUUACCUAGACUGUAAACCUUUCAAGACAGGAAACAUUCUUUUGGAUGACAUGGAUGACAGAGGUGGAAAACUCCAUGACCGAUAAGAAAAUAUUGUAAGGUUCAGUCUCAAAUCAGGCUAGGCUCUGAAUCAUUACUUCUUUCAAAAGUCCUUGCUACAAAAGCAUUGUAAUCCUGGUAUUAAAAAAAAAAGUUUGGAGGCAAGGCGUGACAAGAAGGGGACUAAGCUGUUUCACAUCUGUUUAUUUACUUUUCAUUCUUGCUGCUCAUUGAAGGAGGCAAGCACAACACUCCUGAUUCAUCACCUCUAGAGAAGCUCUUAAAAUACUUCAUAAAUUGUUCAGCUGUACCUAACUAAUUACCAGAUCCCAUUUAUUAACCUAAUAUCCAUUGAAUUUAUAAGCUGCAUUUGCCCUAUUAUUGUAAUUAAAUGACAUUAUUAAUUAUGAUAAUGGUGUGCCCUGAGGAGAGCACACGACAUGAUCACAUUGAAUAUUGUUUUUGCUAGUUGUUACUGUGCAAUUAACAUUUGUUGCUAUUGUAGAUUCUCUAUAUGGGCCUUUUUAUUUACAUUAUAUACUUGAAUGAAGCGUACUGAAACAUGUCUGAGAGAGGCUUUAUUCACUAUUCCAGUAGAAGAGGGCAGCUCUAGCAAAGAUGUCUGCCUGGGGAAGCAGUGUGCAACUUCAGAGAAAUAGAUCAAAGCCUGAGAUAAUUAGUGAAAUGUUUAUCCAAACCAUGUCAUUUACUGCCAUAGGCAUAGCAAAGGUGAAAACUAUUAAGGAAAUUAUUUGAAAAAUGUUUUUAAUGCGUUUGUAGAAGUCAGUACCAUCAGUGACUGCUGGUCUCUCUGUGCUGACAACCUGAGGAGACAGGAUGGGGGCAAGGCAGUUUUGCAUUUGUCAGUUGCCUUUGUGAUUGGCUACAAAUUCAGAAGCCAUGGGCCUGGAUGUUCAGCAAAAUAUAUGGGCACAUCUUGACUCACAGAAAGUAUGUCAUCCCUCCCAAAUUACAUGCAUUCAAUUACAGGAAAGCAUCUCCUUUCCCCAGCAGUAUCAUGGUCUUGCAAAGUGGUAGUCUUUGCUUGUGUUGUUUUCCUCAUGCUUAUCUCCUGUGCAUCACUGCAUUUCUGUCCAGCACCUCUCAAAAUCCCCCUGUGAGGACUGUGAAUCUGGUCACAGGGGGAUGGAAGACACAGAUGCUAUUCUGCUCAGAGCAGCACCAGUGCUACUUUCUUUUGUAUGCUUGUGCUUUUUUUUCUUUUAGCAGCAGUGUGAAACUUCUUGUUCUCAGCACAGGGUCUUUAUCACUAUCCUCCAAACCAUUCCCAUUUUACAGGUUUCCAAAAGAGCUACAGCUUUUCAGCUUACAAAGCAAAGAAGCCAAUAUUCCUAGAUUCCUUCACUGCUGUCCUCAUUUCCACUCCCUGUUCAAUUUGCUGCUGGGCAAUGCAAAGAGGGAGAUGAGCUGCACUCAUUUGUGCUGAGGCCCAGAGGGGCUGUGUGUGUGCACUCGCCUCGAUGUCAUGUGUGUGAAGCUUUUGUUCUCUGAGUACUGAAGUCCUUCCUGAACUCCAGCCUCUUGUGCAACAAUAUUAACAGGAGAGUGCACUGACAGGAGUGGUAAAUCCUAUAUGUGACAGAGGAAAUAGUGUAUUGACCUGCUGAGGGAUUUACAUACCUCCAAAGGCUGACAACAAGCUCUGCCUGUGAGGCUCACUUGUUCUACUUUCCAUUUCCAGCAGAUAUUAUCCAGUGCUUCCAGAUGAAUGACUUGGAUAGAUAUGUAUGUGGAUUUAAAAACUGUCCUGGUUGAGUAUAUUCUUUUAUCCAGAAUGCUACUAAUCAUUUACAAAAUACAGAGAUUUUGCUGUUGUGCUUGCUUUAAAUAUACAGUGCCUAUGGCUGUACAGCUAAAAAGCAUGAUUAUGUAUUUCCCAAAGGCAUGCAGAGAAAUAGGAAGCUAGCUUUUUUAAGUGGUCCCUCUGAUCUUUCAUUAAUAA